UACGUAGGGUGCGAGCGUUGUCCGGAAUUAUUGGGCGUAAAGAGCUUGUAGGCGGUUUGUCGCGUCUGCUGUGAAAUUUCGGGGCUCAACCCCGAACUUGCAGUGGGUACGGGCAGACUAGAGUGUGGUAGGGGAGACUGGAAUUCCUGGUGUAGCGGUGAAAUGCGCAGAUAUCAGGAGGAACACCGGUGGCGAAGGCGGGUCUCUGGGCCGAUACUGACGCUGAGGAGCGAAAGCAUGGGGAGCGAACAGG
rnacentral:rRNA from 1 species